UACGUAGGGUGCAAGCGUUAAUCGGCAUUACUGGGCGUAAAGCGUGCGCAGGCGGUUAUGUAAGUCCGGUGUGAAAUCCCCGGGCUCAACCUGGGAACUGCAUUUGUGACUGUAUAGCUAGAGUACGGUAGAGGGGGAUGGAAUUCCGCGUGUAGCAGUGAAAUGCGUAGAUAUGCGGAGGAACACCGAUGGCGAAGGCAAUCCCCUGGACCUGUACUGACGCUCAUGCACGAAAGCGUGGGGAGCAAACAGG
rnacentral:rRNA from 1 species